GAUGAACGCUGGCGGCGUGCCUAAUACAUGCAAGUCGAGCGAACAGACGAGGAGCUUGCUCCUCUGACGUUAGCGGCGGACGGGUGAGUAACACGUGGAUAACCUACCUAUAAGACUGGGAUAACUUCGGGAAACCGGAGCUAAUACCGGAUAAUAUAUUGAACCGCAUGGUUCAAUAGUGAAAGACGGUUUUGCUGUCACUUAUAGAUGGAUCCGCGCCGCAUUAGCUAGUUGGUAAGGUAACGGCUUACUAAGGCAACGAUGCGUAGCCGACCUGAGAGGGUGAGCGGCCACAGUGGAACUGAGACACGGUCCAGACUCCUACGGGAGGCAGCAGUAGGGAAUCGUACGCAAUGGGCGAGAGCUUGACGGAGCAACGCCGAGUGAGUGAUGAAGGUCUUCGGAUCGUAAAACUCUGUUAUUAGGGAAGAACAAAUGUGUAAGUAACUAUGCACGUCUUGACGGUACCUAAUCAGAAAGCCACGGCUAACUACGUG
rnacentral:rRNA from 1 species